CCUCUUUCAGGCUCACACCUGGAGAGUUUCAAGUACCCUACCAGUCUUGACUAAGAGAGGGAGAGUCAAGCAAAGGCAUAUCCAUUCCAUUCCUAGCUCGCCCAGUGGCUAGUGAGUGGAAGGCAAUCAGCUACAAGU